AAAUUGAAGAGUUUGAUCAUGGCUCAGAUUGAACGCUGGCGGCAGGCCUAACACAUGCAAGUCGAACGGUAGCACAGAGAGCUUGCUCUCGGGUGACGAGUGGCGGACGGGUGAGUAAUGUCUGGGAAACUGCCUGAUGGAGGGGGAUAACUACUGGAAACGGUGGCUAAUACCGCAUAACGUCGCAAGACCAAAGAGGGGGACCUUCGGGCCUCUUGCCAUCAGAUGUGCCCAGAUGGGAUUAGCUAGUUGGUGAGGUAACGGCUCACCAAGGCGACGAUCCCUAGCUGGUCUGAGAGGAUGACCAGCCACACUGGAACUGAGACACGGUCCAGACUCCUACGGGAGGCAGCAGUGGGGAAUAUUGCACAAUGGGCGCAAGCCUGAUGCAGCCAUGCCGCGUGUAUGAAGAAGGCCUUCGGGUUGUAAAGUACUUUCAGCGGGGAGGAAGGUGUUGUGGUUAAUAACCGCAGCAAUUGACGUUACCCGCAGAAGAAGCACCGGCUAACUCCGUGCCAGCAGCCGCGGUAAUACGGAGGGUGCAAGCGUUAAUCGGAAUUACUGGGCGUAAAGCGCACGCAGGCGGUCUGUCAAGUCGGAUGUGAAAUCCCCGGGCUCAACCUGGGAACUGCAUUCGAAACUGGCAGGCUUGAGUCUUGUAGAGGGGGGUAGAAUUCCAGGUGUAGCGGUGAAAUGCGUAGAGAUCUGGAGGAAUACCGGUGGCGAAGGCGGCCCCCUGGACAAAGACUGACGCUCAGGUGCGAAAGCGUGGGGAGCAAACAGGAUUAGAUACCCUGGUAGUCCACGCCGUAAACGAUGUCUACUUGGAGGUUGUGCCCUUGAGGCGUGGCUUCCGGAGCUAACGCGUUAAGUAGACCGCCUGGGGAGUACGGCCGCAAGGUUAAAACUCAAAUGAAUUGACGGGGGCCCGCACAAGCGGUGGAGCAUGUGGUUUAAUUCGAUGCAACGCGAAGAACCUUACCUGGUCUUGACAUCCACGGAAAUUUUCAGAGAUGAGAAUGUGCCUUCGGGAACCGUG
rnacentral:rRNA from 2 species